rnacentral:tRNA from 1 species
GGCUCCAUGGUCAAGCGGCUAAGACACCGCCCUUUCACGGCGGUAACAGGGGUUCAAAUCCCCUUGGAGUCA